CUGACACCCGCAGCGAGGGCAGAGUGGCAGAUUGGGUCAAGCAAUGGUGGCACGAUGAGGAAGGGAAGCCAUGGUGUCUGCCCCGCCCCAAGGCAACAGAUGAGGUUGGAGACGGGGGCGAAGGAAUAGAGUUCGGUGGAUAUCCGGAGAGGGAGGGGA
rnacentral:SRP_RNA from 12 species